ACCUAAUGGUGUGGACAUUUAUGUAAUAAGUCCUUAAAAUGCUCCCAGGUCUCGAAAAACAGUUCCCCAUCCAAUUGUGGGAAACUAGUGAUUUCCCUUCGUAGUU